GUUAAAGGGUGCAGUGUGUGUGAUUUGUGUGUGUGUGUGAUGUGUGUGAAAGUGCUGUGCUGUGUGUGAGUGUGCUGUGUGUGAUGUGUGUGAGAGUGCUGAGUGUGAGAGUGCUGUGCUGUGUGUGAGAGUGCUGUGUGUGAUGUGUAAGAGUGCUGUGUGUGAGAGUGCUGUGAGUGAGAGUGCUGUGUGUGCUGUGUGUGAGAGUGCUGUGCUGUGUGUGAGAGUGCAGUGUGUGUGAGUGCUGUGUGUGAUGUGUG